GGUCAAUUUUGCUUAUUGGUAUAGCUAAACUAUUUGCUAUAUAGUUCUUUUUAUAAGAUCAGUGUUCGAUUCACUGAUUGGCCG
rnacentral:tRNA from 1 species